rnacentral:misc_RNA from 1 species
UUUUCGUCGGCCUGAGAAAAAGCUGAAGCUUUUCGACGACCACUCACAACCUUACGAACCAGAAGAGUUUUUUUUUUUUUUGUUGUUGCUAACUUGACUUUUAGUCUAGGUUAGGUAGAAUCGAUUUAGGAAUUGUUGUACAGAUUUACCGGAAGUAGUUUCUUGCUAACGUGCGCCAGCGGAUCGGUCGGAGAAUGGUGAUGUUUUGUGAAUUUAUGAAUUUUUCCGGUUGUUGAUUAUAUCCGAUGUGCCGGAGAUUUUGCUGCUUGUUUGUGUAGUACAGGACAAGGAAACGGGAUGUAUAUACUUGCGUUGGAUAAGAUUGACUAGGUGAUCCGCUAAUGAAACCGGAUGAAUUAGAAACCCUAAGUUUUGAUUUAACUAGUAGUGAUUAGUGAAGAGAUGGAAGUGGUUUUAAUGGAGGUUUUGUAGUUGUGAUAUUGGGGGAGUGUGGGGGUUUGGAGCUGGAAUUUUGGAGUUAGUUGAUUUGAGUAUUUUCCUGGUGAUGAUGGAGAAGAAUAAGAUUAUUAAGAGUGGGGAUGGGUUCAUUGAUAGGAGUAAAGUGCGGAUUUUACUGUGUGAUAAAGAUCUCAGUAGCUCGCAGGAAGUUUUAACACUCUUGUGCAAAUGUUCUUAUCAAGUGACUUUAGUGAGGUCACCCAGACAGGUGAUUGAUGCACUGAAUGCUGAAGGACCUGAUAUAGAUAUCAUUCUUUCUGAAGUUGACCUUCCUAUUACCAAAGGAUACAAGAUGUUGAAAUACAUUAUGAAGGAUAAAGAACUGCGACGCAUUCCUGUGAUCAUGAUGUCGUCACAAGAUGAAGUUUCUAUUGUCGUUAAGUGCCUCAAAUUUGGAGCAGCUGACUACCUUGUGAAGCCUCUCCGCACUAAUGAGCUGUUGAACUUGUGGACUCACAUGUGGAGAAGAAGGCAAAUGCUUGGACUAGCAGAGAAGAACAUCCUGAGUUACGACUUUGAUUUGAUUAUAUCAGAUCCCAGUGAUCAUAAUACAAAUAGCACUACUCUUUUCUCUGAUGAUACUGAUGAUAAGUCCCGGAAGAGUGUCAAUCUGGAAGUAUGUCCGUCUAUUCAGUUCGAAGAUGAGAUCAAUGCUGCCACCACUACUACUGCUGUAGAGACUCUGGUUGUGGUUCCAUUUGAGUGUCAGUAUAAUGUGCCAGGAACUAAUAAUCGACAGACAGGACGAAUUUCUUCAUUUCCUAAGAAGAGUGAACUGAAGAUAGGUGAGUCCUCGGCAUUCUUUACCUAUGUCAAAUCAGGCAUGCCUAAAAGCAAUGACCAAGGAAUGAUCUCUACCAAUGAAAAUGUGGCUCACCAACCAAGGAUGGAAGGGAAGACCAAUGCAGCUGUAGGGCAUUUAGAGAUUGAAACUCAAAUGCAAGUUAAUGGAGAUGCCGUUGAAAAUCAUUCACAUGUCGAUGACUAUCCAAGUAGUAACAGUUUACCAGAUUCGUAUUCCAUGGAAAGGUCCUCUACUCCCCCUUUAUCACUAGAAUUACCGCAGCAGAGGAACUCGAAGAUGGAGGAAUUCUCGCAGGGGUACAUGUCUCUGCACAAUGAAGCCCAGCGUGAUACUGUGAAUUUUCACGUUCAAAAUGCUUAUCCCUAUUUUAUGCCUGGAGCGAUGAAUCAAGUCAUGAUGCCACCAUCAGCACAAAUGUAUCAGAAGAACCUGCAAGAUUUCCACAACCAUGCUAAUCCAGCUGCAUCACCUCAAUACAAUCAUAUGCCACCAUGUCCCCCUCAUAUGCAUGGGAUGUCAUCAUUUCCUUACUACCCUAUGGGCCUAUGCUUACGACCUGGCGAAAUGCCAACACCACAUCAAUGGCCCACAACUGGAAAUUCGCCUUCGGCUGAAGGUAAGUGGAGCAAAGUUGAUCGUAGAAAGGCCGCACUGUUGAAGUUUAGACAGAAGAGGAAGGAAAGAUGUUUUGACAAGAAGAUCAGGUAUGUUAACCGAAAAAAGCUGGCAGAACGGAGACCUCGUGUGAGAGGACAGUUUGUAAGGAAGGUCAAUGGUGUGAAUGUGGAUCUUAAUGGGCAUCCUGCGUCAGCUGAUUAUGAUGUUGAUGAAGAAGAGGAGGAUGAGGAGGAACAAACUGGAAACUUUGAUUCACCCGAGGAUGAUCCAUCAAUGUGUCUAUGAUGAUUGCAAUCUUUUGGUAGUUUUCCAUGUCAAUGAAUGGCUCGUGUUCUCAGAAUACCAUUGCAAAAAGCUGUUAUACCUUUGAGGAUAAAUGCAGAAGGAAUGAUGCUUCAGUUUUGAUCAACAUGCCCACGAAUGGAACAGGCUUGCUUUUUCAACUUACCUUCAGAGACUUGGUCUACAUGCAUGAUCAGUUGUGCAAUGAAAAAUGAAAAAAUCCUCCUGAUCCCACUGCUUUUCAGCAUAUCAUAUCUCACUAUAUUAACAAGGAAAUGUAUAAAGCUAAAAUCAAGAUUCUAAGAGAAACAAUCUGGACAGGAGAACUUAAUUGUGUUAUAGCGGCUCUGGCUUUUCCUGUCUAAUGUCACUGGAAUUUAGGAACUAUCUUGGAGUGAGGUGGCCAGAGCCAGUGAUUUCACAGUCGAACAAGGUAAUGAAAAUUACGGUGACAUUUUUUUCUGAAAACUGCUUUAAAU